rnacentral:rRNA from 1 species
UGGGGAAUAUUGCACAAUGGGCGCAAGCCUGAUGCAGCCAUGCCGCGUGUGUGAAGAAGGCCUUCGGGUUGUAAACCUCUUUUAGCAAGGAAGAAGCGAAAGUGACGGUACUUGCAGAAAAAGCGCCGGCUAACUACGUGCCAGCAGCCGCGGUAAUACGUAGGGCGCAAGCGUUAUCCGGAAUUAUUGGGCGUAAAGAGCUCGUAGGCGGUUUGUCGCGUCUGCUGUGAAAACCCGAGGCUCAACCUCGGGCCUGCAGUGGGUACGGGCAGACUAGAGUGCGGUAGGGGAGAUUGGAACUCCUGGUGUAGCGGUGGAAUGCGCAGAUAUCAGGAAGAACACCGAUGGCGAAGGCAGAUCUCUGGGCCGUAACUGACGCUGAGGAGCGAAAGGGUGGGGAGCAAACAGGCUUAGAUACCCUGGUAGUCCACCCGUAAACGUUGGGAACUAGUUGUGGGGUCCAUUCCACGGAUUCCGUGACGCAGCUAACGCAUUAAGUUCCCCGCCUGGGGAGUACGGCCGCAAGGCUAAAACUU